GACGAACCGAGCAAACGUUAUUCGGAAUCACUGGGCUUAAAGGGCGCGUAGGCGGGCCUUCAAGUCCGUGGUGAAAUCCGGCAGCUCAACUGUCGAACUGCCGCGGAUACUGGGUGUCUCGAGGGAGGUAGGGGCGUGCGGAACUAUUGGUGGAGCGGUGAAAUGCGUUGAUAUCAAUAGGAACUCCGGUGGCGAAGGCGGCACGCUGGACCUCUUCUGACGCUGAGGCGCGAAAGCCAGGGGAGCAAACGGG
rnacentral:rRNA from 1 species